rnacentral:rRNA from 1 species
CCCUUAGAUGUCCUGGGCUGCACGCGCGCUACACUGGAAGUUACGGAUUGAGAUACUACCUUGUCCGAAAUGGUCCGGGUAAUCACCUAAAAGCUUGUCAUAAUUGGAAUGGAUUAUUGUAACUAGUAAUCCUGAACGAGGAAUUCCUAGUAAGUCCCAGUCAACAGCCGGUACUGAUUACGUCCCUGCCCUUUGUACACACCGCCCGUCGCUACUACUGAUUGGACGUUUAAGCAAGAUUUUUAAACACUGACAGUGUGUAGUUCACGCUAUACUACAGUGAGAAGAAGAAGAUCGAGCUUACUUGUCUAGAGGAAGUAAAAGUCGUAACA